rnacentral:RNase_P_RNA from 1 species
AGAAGUCGGGGAGACAAUCGCGUCUCUUCCAACCUCAGGUUCGGGAGGUACGAGGAAAGUCCGAGCUCCACAGGGCAGGGUGCUGGUUAACGGCCAGGGGGAGCGAUCCCACGGAAAGUGCCACAGAAAAUAUACCGCCACGGUUCGCCGUGGUAAGGGUGAAAUGGUGAGGUAAGAGCUCACCGCGCCUCCGGCGACGGAGGUGGCAGGGUAAACCCCACCUGGAGCAAGACCGAAUAGAGGAGGAUGAGGCUGCCCGCCUCGCCAUCACUCCCGGGUAGGUCGCUCGAGGCUGCCGGCAACGGCAGUCCCAGAUACAUGAUUGUCGCCCGGCCGGAUUUCCGGCGGGGUAACAGGACUCGGCUUACGACCGGCUUCUCACG